GACGAACCGUGCGAACGUUGUUCGGAAUCACUGGGCUUAAAGGGCGCGUAGGCGGGCUGUCAAGUCUGGGGUGAAAUCCCGCGGCUCAACCGUGGAACUGCCUCAGAUACUGACGGCCUCGAGGGGGGUAGGGGCGAGCGGAACGGAUGGUGGAGCGGUGAAAUGCGUUGAUAUCAUCCGGAACUCCGGUGGCGAAGGCGGCUCGCUGGACCUCUUCUGACGCUGAGGCGCGAAAGCUAGGGGAGCAAACGGG
rnacentral:rRNA from 1 species